rnacentral:rRNA from 1 species
UACGAAGGGGGCUAGCGUUGUUCGGAAUUACUGGGCGUAAAGCGCGCGCAGGCGGCCUUUCAAGUCAGGGGUGAAAGCCCGGAGCUCAACUCCGGAAUUGCCUUUGAAACUGUCAGGCUCGAGAACGGGAGAGGUGAGUGGAAUUCCCAGUGUAGAGGUGAAAUUCGUAGAUAUUGGGAAGAACACCGGUGGCGAAGGCGGCUCACUGGCCCGUUUCUGACGCUCAGGCGCGACAGCGUGGGGAUCAAACAGG